rnacentral:rRNA from 1 species
UGGGGAAUAUUGGACAAUGGGGGCAACCCUGAUCCAGCCAUGCCGCGUGAGUGAUGAAGGCCUUAGGGUUGUAAAGCUCUUUCGCAGGGGAAGAUAAUGACGGUACCCUGAGAAGAAGCCUCGGCUAACUCCGUGCCAGCAGCCGCGGUAAGACGGAGGAGGCUAGCGUUGUUCGGAAUUACUGGGCGUAAAGCGUACGCAGGUGGCGGUGCAAGUCGGAUGUGAAAGCCCAGGGCUCAACCCUGGAUGUGCAUCCGUUACUGCAUUGCUAGAGUUCGGGAGAGGAGAGCGGAAUUCCCAGUGUAGAGGUGAAAUUCGUAGAUAUUGGGAAGAACACCGGUGGCGAAGGCGGCUCUCUGGACCGAUACUGACACUCAAGUACGAAAGCGUGGGGAGCAAACAGG